CUGUGAAAAUAAGUACAGAUGGCUUUGUAAGAAAGCUGAAUCUCCACACAUUUUUGAUGUGUUUCUUAGUCGGUACCUGUCAAGACCAUUUUCAUCACAGAAGAUAUACAACUCCCUCCAUAGUGCUAAGAUAGACUGCUUAUAUGACAGGAACUGCACAGGAGUAGUAAAAGUCUCACAGUACUUCAGAAGAAUGGCAGGAAUUGAUGAAAUCCACUUUGCUCCUUUUACUGCUCCCUCGAGUGCUAUUUCGUAUGUAAAACGUGAAUGUUCUUUGGGAUACUAUGGAGAAAGCUGUGCAAGAGUUUGUCCGCUGUGUCCUGGAAACUUCAGAUGCAAUUCAAUAACUGGCAAAUGCCCAGAAAAGUUAAUGUGUGUGGACAAAUUUAAAGGUGAAAUUUGUGAAUCAGGUACAGUAAUAUUAACUCGGGGGGGUUUUUUAAUUCACCUUUUCUGUCUAAUAUGUAUAGAGAAGACAUAAAAUGAUAUUACCUGUCCCAGGACAUCCUGGAUAUUAAAUGUUGUAGUGUGACCUGCAGAUGUAACCAAAAUGAAUUAUUCUUUGAAUAUACCGAGUUGGGCUAGCUUCACAAAAGGAUUUAAGCACAUAACUGUCACUUUAGGCACCUAAAUCCCAGAAUCAGGCCCCAUUGGGGGUUCACAAAACCCCUGCUCAGCUCCACGCCUACAUUUUUGCAGUAAAAGUUUCCUAGGUGCCUAUGUUUCUGCCUCUGUGCUGUCGGAGAAUAACACAGUUCUCACUCUUUGUUUGGGUACAGCAAAAUCAGAUACUUU
rnacentral:lncRNA from 1 species